rnacentral:rRNA from 1 species
GACGAACGCUGGCGGCGUGCUUAACACAUGCAAGUCGAACGGAAAGGCCCUGCUUUUGUGGGGUGCUCGAGUGGCGAACGGGUGAGUAACACGUGAGUAACCUGCCCUUGACUUUGGGAUAACUUCAGGAAACUGGGGCUAAUACCGGAUAGGAGCUCCUGCUGCAUGGUGGGGGUUGGAAAGUUUCGGCGGUUGGGGAUGGACUCGCGGCUUAUCAGCUUGUUGGUGGGGUAGUGGCUUACCAAGGCUUUGACGGGUAGCCGGCCUGAGAGGGUGACCGGCCACAUUGGGACUGAGAUACGGCCCAGACUCCUACGGGAGGGAAGAGGGGGGAAUAUUGCACAAUGGGCGGAAGCCUGAUGCAGCAACGCCGCGUGCGGGAUGACGGCCUUCGGGUUGUAAACCGCUUUCGCCUGUGACGAAGCGUGAGUGACGGUAAUGGGUAAAGAAGCACCGGCUAACUACGUG